GAAAGAAAGGAAAUGUACAUUAAAAGUCCAAAACACCUUGGAACAGAGAACUAAGUGGGAUUUUAAUGUGCUAAAUGAGAAUUAAAACUAAAAAGUACCUUCUCCAGACAUGUAAACACAUUUAACUGAUGGUUGAUUUAGUCACAGUAGUAUGUACAGGGUCAGUCAGGGUCAGUAGUAUGAUAGGUGUUGUUUUACAGGGUCAGCCACAGUAGUACGAUAGGUGUUGUUUUACAGGGUCAGUCACAGUAGUACGAUAGGUGUUGUUUUACAGGGUCAGUCACAGUAGUACGAUAGGUGUUGUUUUACAGGGUCAGUCACAGUAGUACGAUAGGUGUUGUUUUACAGGGUCAGUCACAGUAGUACGAUAGGUGUUGUUUUACAGGGUCAGUCACAGUAGUACGAUAGGUGUUGUUUUACAGGGUCAGUCACAGUAGUACGAUAGGUGUUGUUUUACAGGGUCAGUCACAGUAGUACGAUAGGUGUUGUUUUACAGGGUCAGUCACAGUAGUACGAUAGGUGUUGUUUUACAGGGUCAGUCACAGUAGUACGAUAGGUGUUGUUUUACAGGGUCAGUCACAGUAGUACGAUAGGUGUUGUUUUACAGGGUCAGUCACAGUAGUACGAUAGGUGUUGUUUUACAGGGUCAGUCACAGUAGUACGAUAG